AGUGAACGCUGGCGGUAGGCCUAACACAUGCAAGUCGAACGGCAGCACAGUAAGAGCUUGCUCUUACGGGUGGCGAGUGGCGGACGGGUGAGGAAUACAUCGGAAUCUACCUUUUCGUGGGGGAUAACGUAGGGAAACUUACGCUAAUACCGCAUACGACCUACGGGUGAAAGCAGGGGAUCUUCGGACCUUGCGCGAUUGAAUGAGCCGAUGUCGGAUUAGCUAGUUGGCGGGGUAAAGGCCCACCAAGGCGACGAUCCGUAGCUGGUCUGAGAGGAUGAUCAGCCACACUGGAACUGAGACACGGUCCAGACUCCUACGGGAGGCAGCAGUGGGGUAUAUUGGACAAUGGGCGCAAGCCUGAUCCAGCCAUACCGCGUGGGUGAAGAAGGCCUUCGGGUUGUAAAGCCCUUUUGUUGGGAAAGAAAAGCAGCAGGUUAAUACCCCGCUGUUCUGACGGUACCCAAAGAAUAAGCACCGGCUAACUUCGUG
rnacentral:rRNA from 1 species